GGGUAUAACGAAAUAUGACCCCGCUUUGCAAGCAGGGGGUUACGGGUUCGAGUCCCGUUGGCUCCACCA
rnacentral:tRNA from 1 species